rnacentral:rRNA from 1 species
GAAUCCCGUCUUUGACACGGACUGCCUGUACAUUAUGGUGUGCUCUCGAAGAGUCGAGUUGUUUGGGAAUGCAGCUCAAAAUGGGUGGUAAAUGCCAUCUAAAGCUAAAUAUUGGCGAGAGACCGAUAGCGAACAAGUACCGUGAGGGAAAGAUGAAAAGAACUUHGGAAAGAGAGUUAAACAGUACGUGAAAUUGCUGAAAGGGAAACGCUUGAAGUCAGUCGCGUUGGCUAGAAAUCAACCUUGCUUUUGCUUUGUGUACUUUCUGGUUGACGGGUCAGCAUCAAUUUUGACCACUGGAUAAAGUCUUUGGGAAUGUGGCAUCUUCGGAUGUGUUAUAGCCCAUUGUCGCAUACGGUGGUUGGGAUUGAGGAACUCAGCACGCCGCAAGGCCGGGUUUCGACCACGUUCGUGCUUAGGAUGCUGGCAUAAUGGCUUUAAUCGACCCGUCUUGAAACACGGACCAAGGAGUCUAACAUGCCUGCGAGUGUUUGGGUGGAAAAACCCAUGCGCGCAAUGAAAGUGAAAGUUGAGAUCCUCUUCAAAGGGGGAGCAUUGACGCCCGGACCAGACCUUUUGUGACGGAUCCGCGGUAGAGCAUGCAUGUUGGGACCCGAAAGAUGGUGAACUAUGCCUGAAUAGGGUGAAGCCAGAGGAAACUCUGGUGGAGGCUCGUAGCGAUUCUGACGUGCAAAUCGAUCGUCAAAUUUGGGUAUAGGGGCGAAAGACUAAUCGAACCAUCUAGUAGCUGGUUCCUGCC